CCGAACCGGAGAGAGCGACCACAGGGAGCGGCGUCUGUGUCACCAUCUCCUGCUGGUAUCGUAGACAGUUUUGGUGCUGAUGAACCCCUCCGGCAUGUGGUGUCCAAAUGCAGGAGCGCCUGGUGGGAUACCCCCACCAAAUGCACCAUAUUGUCCCCCUCCCUCUGGACCAUGCCCUGGGCCUGGCAUGAAUCCAUGCCCUCCCGUAGUCUGCCCUCCUCCCCAUCCUGUAUGCCCUGGGCCUGGUGGGCCCCACCCGCAUGGACACCACCCGCAUGGACAUCACCCGCAUGGACACCACCCACAUGGACCCCCAAUGCCCGGUGGACCUGGAUGCCCUCCUGGAUGCCCUCCUCCUCCUGGGUGUUGUCCCCCUGGUGGCCCUCAUGGGCAUCAUAAAAAGCACAAGCAUAAGAAGCAUGGCCAUGGUCACCAUGGACACAAGCAUGGAAGUGGAUCGAGCAGCAGUUCUGACUCGGAUUAAGAAAGUGCCUCCCACUGGCCUGGCUCACAUCUGUGGCACAGCAGCAGCAGAAGCCAAAUACUAUUUAAGAACAUCUGUUAGUUCUCUCCAGUUCACUCUUCUGCUGCCCUUUGCUUCCUCUUCUAAAUGAACCUCAUGUAACCGUGUGGCUAGUGAUUCUCUUCUGUUUGGUUUGUUCAAUUUCUGUCUGGAAGCAUUUUAAGCUCAUGACCUGGCUCGUUUCCCCUCUGUCACUGAAUAGAUUCCCCCCUCUUAUGUAGCGCCUCUGCCAGGUGGUGAUAGCAGCCAGCAGGGCCAUGGUCGAUACUUGGGAGUUCCUCUUCGCAAUGCUCGUCAGAACCGGUGUGAGCCCUGAGCCAGACAUUCGGGAAACUGCACAGCGCCCAGGUCGCCUGUACGAGGCAAUUCUCCCCCAUGCGCAAGCCCUGAGUCUGGCACAACAAACAGUGAUUUAAGGGGGGUGGGGGCCUCACUGCUGCUGUGUCUGCUCCCCAGUGCUCCAGCUCCUCCCAAGGUCUAAGGCUCAGUGAUUUCCAGUCUAGUGGUCACUGAGAAGGGACAAGGACUCUCUGUUGGGUCUAUGCAGCUUCAUCUUUAAUCGCUGGAGGGGGAGGGUCGAAUGAAAUCUGGGACCCUUAAACAAGGUCCUUCCUCCCCUCGCCCCAGAAACACCUGACCCCACCCCAUCUGCCCAGGACUUGGGAGUUACUUCACUACCCCUCACUUAGCGAGGAGAGUGGCCUGUCAAUCCUGGGGGGAUUCUGCACCAAAAAAUUAAAAUUUCUGCACGAUAUCUUAACAUUCUGCAAAUU